rnacentral:rRNA from 1 species
AGAGUUUGAUCCUGGCUCAGAGUGAACGCUGGCGGCGUGGAUUAGGCAUGCAAGUCGAGCGAUCCUUGCUGGAACAAUUUCUGCUUGCAGAAAGAGGGAAAGCGCGGGAUAGCGGCAAACGGGUGAGUAACACGUAAGUAAUUUUCCUUCAAAUCAAGAAUAGCGUCGUGAAAACGGCAGUAAUACUUGAUAGUACCUUAAACUGGCAUCAGGUUAAGGUUAAAGGUGGGGACCUUCGGGCCUGCCGUUUGAAGAUGAGCUUGCGUCCCAUCAGCUUGUUGGUAAGGUAACGGCUUACCAAGGCAAUUGACGGGUAGCUGGUCUGAGAGGAUGUCCAGCCACACUGGGACUGAGACACUGCCCAGACUCCUACGGGAGGCUGCAGUCGAGAAUCUUUCUCAAUGGGGGAAACCCUGAAGAUGCGACGCCGCGUGCAGGAUGAAGGUCUUCGGAUUGUAAACUGCUUUUGUCAGAGAAGAAACCUUUAAGAUUAAUACUCUUAAAGCUGACGGUACCUGACGAAUAAGCCACGGCCAACUCCGUGCCAGCAGCCGCGGUAAUACGGAGGUGGCAAGCGUUACUCGGAAUUAUUGGGUGUAAAGGGCAAGUAGGCGGUCUAAUAGGUGAGGGGUGAAAUCCUGCGGCUCAAUCGCAGAACAGCCUCUCAAACCAUCAGACUUGAGGAUGGCAGGGGAAAAUGGAAUUUCCGGUGUAAGGGUGAAAUCUGUAGAUAUCGGAAAGAACGCCAACGGCGAAGGCAAUUUUCUGGUCCAAUCCUGACGCUAAACUGCGAAAGCUAGGGGAGCAAACAGAAUUAGAUACUCUGGUAGUCCUAGCUGUAAACGAUGAGUACUAGGUGUUGGUCCUUCGGGAUCAGUGCCGUAGCUAACGCAUUAAGUACUCCACCUGGGGACUACGGUCGCAAGGCUAAAACUCAAAGGAAUUGACGGGGGCCCGCACAAGCGGUGGAACAUGUGGUUUAAUUCGAUGUUACGCGAAGAACCUCACCAAGGCUUGACAUGCUCGUCGUACCCUGAUGAAAGUCGGGGGUCAUUUAGUUGGACGAUGCACAGGUGCUGCAUGGCUGUCGUCAGCUCGUGUCGUGAGAUGUUGGGUUAAGUCCCGCAACGAGCGCAACCAUUGUCCUAUGUUGCCACCAUUCACUUCGGUGAAUGAGCACUCUUAGGAGACUGCCCGGGAUAACCGGGAGGAAGGUGGAGAUGACGUCAAGUCAGUACGGCCCUUAUGCCUUGGGCUACACACGUGUUACAAUGGAAGAUACAAAGGGUUGCCAACCCGCGAGGGGGAGCUAAUCUCAAGAAGUCUUUCUCAGUUCGGAUUGGAGUCUGCAAUUUGACUCCAUGAAGCUGGAAUCGCUAGUAAUGGAAGAUCAGCACGCUUCCGUGAAUACGUUCCCGGGCCUUGUACACACCGCCCGUCAAGCGAUGGGAGCCGGGGGCACCCGAAGUCCUGUGUAGGCAGGCCGAAGGUGAAACUGGUGACUGGCGCUAAGUCGUAACAAGGUA